GCGGGUAUAGUUCAGUGGUAGAAUGAUUCCUUCCCAAGGAAUAGAUAGGGGUCCGAUUCCCCUUACCCGCUCCA
rnacentral:tRNA from 1 species